CACUCUUUUCUCUCUCGACGGAGUGAUAGUAAUCCAAUAUUUGUGUAGAUCGAUCUGACGAUUCGGGAACAAAAUGGCAUUAUCACUUAUGAUAUUGGAGAAGCAGCUUUCUUGAUAUAUUGCUCUUUUUCAUCGCAUUUGAGCCUUGAAGACCAGAAAAAGGAUCUUAUCACAUUGCUGCUUUGCCCUGCUUAUCUGAGUCUGUGGACAAGAGAUUUUCCGGAGGGUCCUUUUUGUGCUUAUUAUUCUCCAUGGCAAGUAAUGAGAAUCUACCACCCAAUGUUAUCAAGCAGCUUGCCAAGGAGCCGAAGAGUGUGGACGAAUCCCCUCAUGAUGGCAUCAAGGUUGUGGUUAAUGAAGAGGAUUUCUCACAAAUAUAGGCUGAUAUUGAAGGUUCUGAAUCAUGUAAAAUUUUUUUGUUAAUUU